GAUGAACGCUGGCGGCGUGCCUAAUACAUGCAAGUCGAGCGAACGGACGAGAAGCUUGCUUCUCUGAUGUUAGCGGCGGACGGGUGAGUAACACGUGGAUAACCUACCUAUAAGACUGGGAUAACUUCGGGAAACCGUAGCUAAUACCGGAUAAUAUUUUGAACCGCAUGGUUCAAAAGUGAAAGACGGUCUUGCUGUCACUUAUAGAUGGAUCCGCGCUGCAUUAGCUAGUUGGUAAGGUAACGGCUUACCAAGGCAACGAUGCAUAGCCGACCUGAGAGGGUGAUAGGCCACACGGGAACUGAGACACGGUCCAGACUCCUACGGGAGGCAGCAGUAGGGAAUCUUCCGCAAUGGGCGAAAGCAUGACGGAGCAACGCCGCGUGAGUGAUGAAGGUCUUCGGAUCGUAAAACUCUGUUAUUAGGGAAGAACAGAUGUGUAAGUAACUGUGCACAUCGUGACGGUACCUAAUCAGAAAGCCACGGCUAACUACGUG
rnacentral:rRNA from 1 species